UGCAUGGCUGUCGUCAGCUCGUGUCGUGAGAUGUUGGGUUAAGUCCCGCAACGAGCGCAACCCUUGUCAUUAGUUGCCAUCAUUUGGUUGGGCACUCUAAUGAGACUGCCGGUGACAAAACCCGGAGGAAGGUGGGGAUGACGUCAAGUCCUCAUGGCCCUUAUGGGUAGGGCUUCACACGUCAUACAAUGGUCGGUACAGAGGGUUGCCAACCCGCGAGGGGGAGCUAAUCCCACAAAGCCGAUCGUAGUCCGGAUCGCAGUCUGCAACUCGACUGCGUGAAGUCGGAAUCGCUAGUAAUCGUGGAUCAGAAUGUCACGGUGAAUACGUUCCCGGGUCUU
rnacentral:rRNA from 1 species